rnacentral:rRNA from 1 species
GGCGGUAAUACGUAGGGUGCGAGCGUUGUUCGGAAUUACUGGGCGUAAAGGGCGUGCAGGCGGAUUGGUAAGCCGGAGGUGAAAGCCCGGGGCUCAACCCCGGAGGGUCUUUCGGAACUGCCAGUCUUGAGAGGGUCAGGGGCCAGCGGAAUUCCUGGUGUAGAGGUGAAAUUCGUAGAGAUCAGGAGGAACACCGGCGGCGAAAGCGGCUGGCUGGGGCCACUCUGACGCUGAGGCGCGAAAGCGUGGGGAGCAAACAGGAUUAGAUACCCUGGUAGUCCACGCCGUAAACGAUGGGCACUAAGCGUCCGACGGGUUCGACCCUGUUGGGUGCUGCAGUUAACGCGUUAAGUGCCCCGCCUGGGGAGUACGGUCGCAAGACUAAAACUCAAAUGAAUUGACGGGGACCCGCACAAGUAGUGGAGCAUGUGGUUUAAUUCGAAGAUACGCGCAGAACCUUACCAACACUUGACAUGUUCGUCGCGACUUUAAGAGAUUAAAGUUUUCGGUUCGGCCGGACGAAACACAGGUGCUGCAUGGCU